GGUCGCUCCGCGAGCGGCCGGGACUGCGGUUUGCUGUGAACGCCCGCGUCCGCGCGGCGGGACGCCCGCCCGGGACAAUGAGGCCAUGUGGCCGCCGCCGCGGACGGGCUCACUCGGGGGACCUGACGGUGCCGCGGGGCGAGCUCGGGGCGCGCAGGCAGAGGCUCCCGGGUGCUUGCUCUCUGGGUGACCCCGCGAGGAGAGCGGGCGCCCGGGCCUCGGUGUGCCCUGCGUCGAUUGGCGGCAUGGGGGGGGGGGGGGUCGUACCUGCCCCGGCCACCUCGUGGGUUCGGAGGACUGAGACAGUAGAAGCGAGGGCGCUGGGCGAUCAGGCGGUCAGGCAACGCCUUCCCGCCGGAGACAGGAAGGUGUUCCUUCCCGCUCACCUGGAGCUGUCUUGGGGAAGAGGUGCUGAUUAUUUCCUUGGGGAAAUGAGGCUUAGAAGCCACUUAGAGUGGUGAUUUCCUCAGGAUGUUUCUGUCCGCGUCCCUGAGCCUGGGCUGUGUGUCUUCAAAGGGAGUGAUGGAUGGGUCGGGGGAGGGUGCGCAGCCCUCCCAGAGCCACCACCUCCAACUCCGGCGGAGAAUUCUUUGACCUGGUUUAUGGACUCAAGUACCAGAAAUCUGUGAACGAGGAGGGGGUGCCUUGAGGAUGGAGGUUCUGGGAGGAGAGGGUCCUGGCUGGUCCAGGCGCCUCACCCGGGGCCUGUAAACACCAGAGCAGACAGAAAAAGCGCUCCAAAGGCCUCGCCAUUAUAUCUUGCCCACACAACAGGCUCCCCAUCAGGCCAGCUGAGGUUUCUUUUUUCAGAUAACACAAUGGAUGGAAGUAAAGUUGCUGCCGGAGUCCACUGCUGGUGAGGCCUGUACAUAGAGAGGAAGAAGAAGAGGCGAUUUAGAAUCUCUCACACACAAGAAUUCAAGGAGCCUGGAAGCUCACUGAUCUUCGGGAAGGAGGCAACUUUUUUCUUCCUACGCAGACAUGAAAAAAAAUCAGUGGAAUCGGGGCAUUUUCUGCAGCAUCCGCCCUGAAAGUCCAGAUGCUAAUUAAUGAAAUACAGUCGGGAUGUCGUCACGACCAACUCCGAACUACCCACCUGCGUGACUUCACGAUCAAAAUGAUUUCUUCCCUAUGCGCUUCAGUUAAAAAGAAUGAAAAUCGUGUCGACCAAGCUACUAACAUGGUAGCUAAUAAUAGGAUCACUUUUUUAUGCUAAUAAAACAGACCUACAAUUUUAUUAAACUUCUGCAGUGAUCACUGUAGUGACGUGUGUGUGCAUCUAUACAGAGAAGACAUACAGCCUCUGACAAGCAAAGAAAUACAAGCGCAAGGGUGCCUUUGAGGAGGCGCGAUCACCACGCUGGGUAACUCAAACAGAGGCCAGGAUGGGAAUUCCCUAUCUCAGAAAAAAGAAAAAUGUGGUCUCCAGCAGGAAAAUGUGAAGGCACACUCUUAAGUGGAAAGCGUAAGACCAAACACAAAGCAGCAGAGGAGAGUCUGAAACCAGCACCUGCAGUAACAGAUGCCACAGGUUGGAAGGCCAAGGAUGAGGCAGUGACGCACCCGCCCUAGGUACGGGGGUUUUCAGGUAGGAUGGCCCC